AUUUACUUUAUGCCAAAACUUCUAUUAAUUUACAAUUAGAAUUAUUAUGGUUAAUUUUUUGAGUAGUUCCCAUAGUUUUUCAGUCUGACCUGAUCAAAAUCCAUAAAUCUUGCAAAGUCUCAGGAAGUUUUGUGUCUGAGAUUUUAUCAAUUUUAUACAGAAAAGCCUAUUAGAUUCAUUUCCCAUUAGAUAUAUACUGUUCCCAGGUUGAAUAGUUCAAAAAUCUGACUGAUACUAACCAUUAAAGUCAGCUCCGAUCGCCAUUAUAUUCCAUGCUUCAAUCCUCAUUAUAUUCCAUGCAUCAAUCCUAAUGGACAAGCUGUGGUGCUAACCUGAAAUAUAAAAUGCCGCCCUUCAUCUUUAAUUUUUUUUUUUUAAAUGAUAAUUGUAAUAUACUAUUCGUACAAAUUGUUGAAAGUCAAUAAAUAUGAUAAAGAUGUUAAAAACAUAUCGAUCCCAUAGAUAAUCUAGCAACAGCAAUCCAGC
rnacentral:lncRNA from 1 species